AUUGAACGCUGGCGGCAGGCCUAACACAUGCAAGUCGAACGGUAACAGGAAGAAGCUUGCUUCUUUGCUGACGAGUGGCGGACGGGUGAGUAAUGUCUGGGAAACUGCCUGAUGGAGGGGGAUAACUACUGGAAACGGUAGCUAAUACCGCAUAACGUCGCCAGACCAAAGAGGGGGACCUUCGGGCCUCUUGCCAUCGGAUGUGCCCAGAUGGGAUUAGCUAGUAGGUGGGGUAACGUCUCACCUAGGCGACGAUCCCUAGCUGCUCUGAGAGGAUGACCAGCCACACUGGAACUGAGACACGGUCCAGACUCCUACGGGAGGCAGCAGUGGGGAAUAUUGCACAAUGGGCGCAAGCCUGAUGCAGCCAUGCCGCGUGUAUGAAGAAGGCCUUCGGGUUGUAAAGUACUUUCAGCGGGGAGGAAGGGAGUAAAGUUAAUACCUUUGCUCAUUGACGUUACCCGCAGAAGAAGCACCGGCUAACUCCGUG
rnacentral:rRNA from 1 species